GCACGUAAAGGGUUGUAACUGUGACUAAUUUUUUAUGAAGCUCUCACGCUUGAUGAGCGUUUACGCGCAGAAAUGACAUCGAUACGCGAUACGUAACGUAAUGUGCUAACAACGCUCGCGCGCGUUACCAGUUCUUUUUAGAAUUUGUAACAUUGGAAGCGCCCGUUAUGGAGCAAUCUCGUCGACGCGAUUACGCAAAUCAGUAAUAACAACUCUGCGGCGAAUUACGUAUCGCGCGUAUCGAUUCGGGAUACUUUUUCGUGCUCUAGCGCGGUUCGUAAUAUCGAAAUCUGGCGGCCGGUGGACGCCCAUAAUCGCUCCGCCGCGCCGCGUCUAAAUCGAUCUAAAAAGAAGCCACAGUCUGGGCCCAGGUCCAAGGCGGAGAGAGAGAAAGAGGAAAGUCUUCCCCUAAGGGCGUAUAAUGACACUAAAUUGCCGUUCCUAUCCUAGAAGAGAUCCGAGAUUAGUCGCUGAAAGUAAUGAGACCCGGAUAGACCGACCGCUCUACCUAGGCCGCUUUCAUGCAAAUUGUUCUCGAAUCAAGCACAAGGUCGACGUACGAUUUCCAUGAUACCGUAUUAAGCGAUCCAAAAUAACGUGGGAAAAUGUUGGCGGUCCUUGGGAACAAAUACGAAGACGCGCGAUCAAGAUCAACUCGGUCGAGCGUAAAUGUGCUUUCGGUAAGAGAUAUAAUUUGUAACGGAAGCGUGAUGAAACUCUCGAUGCAAAUUGAGCAAAUUCAAUAACGACGCAAUUUGCGUGUGUAUCCCAUGGCAGAUUUUCACAACGAGCCUUUCAAUUCCUUUGCGGAACUCGUGCCUCCUUUCGCGCACACGCGCGCCGCGAGGAAUUAGAGGGAGGGCGCAAUUUGCGUGAAGGGAGCUAAAAAUUAGAGCGAACGGCAGAAGCCGACUGAAACUUUAGAUAACGAACUUCAUCAAAAGCAGCAGCUCCAUGCAAAUCGCUCGCGGGGGUAGCGCGGAGGAUAGGGAAGGACAAGGCGAGUGUCGGCGGCUACCGAAGGGCCGGAGGCUGUGUAGAGGAGAGGUCCCGAAGCGGAUUUGGACGCGGAGAGGUAAAAGCGAGAGGGUCCGCGGAAGCGGCAGGAAAUUAAGGUCUGGAGGGCCGCGCGGCCAUUAGCAGCCGGCGCCAUGGAGGCGACACGCCCCCACGUGGAUUCAACCUUGCGCCAGCAACACCGGCGAAAGACAACGAACGCGCGCACCCUUCCAGGAUGGAAGCGACGUGAGAGAGGGAGAGAGAGAGAGAGGGAGAUGGGGAGAGAGACGAAAGAGAGCGAGGAGAAAGAGAAACGAGAAACGGAGAAGUCGCGACCGCGCCGCGCUCGAUCUAUCCUUCGAAGAAAGAGAGAUCCGGAGAGUCCUGCUAGGUUGCCCCGAUCAUUCAUCAACGCGUACAACAAAUGUCCUGCUCAUAUUUCUUCGCGGUAACAUGACACACCGUUGUAUAUGGUCAUUACUCAGGAUGCACUCGUGCACGAGGCGCCGUUUCAAGGCUUUCCGGGUGAUUUGUUCCUGUUACCUUUAACGCAAAAGUAACGAGUUAAAUAACUUUGCGUUAAAACUGUAGAUAGGCGAUUGUGAGAGCGAUUUUUGUACGAUCGAGAAAGCCGUGGAAUCGAGGAGUGAAACGUCUACAUCAGUUUCCCGUCUAAACGACGAGAGACAAGUUGGAAAGUAUCAAGAGUUAUUAUUCCGAGAAAUCUCCGGACGCCGUGUGAUUGCUCCCCGUUACGAUGCUGCCGACGAAUGGGAGCGCUCGUUGACGCGGAGGUCGUAAGAGGGUGACGGGCCGGCAGGAUGGGAGAACCGCGGAGGGUUGAAAGGACGAAAUCGUCGUCUCUCCCGCUUUUACGUCGAAAGGGAGGCGGAAGGUUUAGCGCGGCGGAGAUCGCAACGGGGUUGAGUGUCUCUCCGCCGGUGUACGAGCCACGCCCUCUUCAAGCUCGAUGAGUGCAGGUUGUAGGCAGGCCACGUAUCGAUCCGCCGGGACAAUAUGACAGUGGCCUGCGGAGACAACGACGUCCCUCGAUCAGCUCCCUCCAUCACUGAACCCUACGCGCGGAUACACGCCCUCCGUGACGCGGGUCGCGCGGCUUAACCGUCGCGAUCGCGAUUCGGCAGUUUAUUGUCGUCCUUUUGUCUUUUUCGGAGCGCUCUCACCGUGGCAAGGUGUCAACUAAGCUUCUAAAACCACGUCUCGAGUCCAAAUUAAGAGGGAACUGUAAUCGGCCGAGCGGACAAUCGACCGUCGACGGAAGUGCGACGACGAUCGUGCGUAGGUGAAAAGCUCGAGGAGAACCCCUCGUUCGCACAUCAGGCGAGACGCACGUCGACGAUCGGUACCUACCAGGUCUAUACUAUAUGCGUGCACGCUAACGAAGACAUCGGGAGCUCGUAAUAAUGUUGCGAACGGUCUUUCAGGAAGCGGCUUAGAAACUUGUUUCCGCUAUCAAGCCAUCGUUAUCGAAUUAGCCGAGCAGAGACAAUUAGACGAGGACGAAGUCGCGGGAAAAAAAAGAGAGGCUUCGUGCUCCAUAAAGGAGCGCCGCGCAAAAUUAGCCGGCGUUCUUUUCUGCUUUCGGUGUAAAAAGUGUCGGUCGUUCUCAAGAGCCAUUGACCGCGAUCUUCAAGCACCUGCCGAGCCGGCAUGGUCGAGUUUCUGAUUGGAUCCACCUGCAUUGAGUAGCCCCCAACCAGCGGUAUUGACUAACUGCGCCACUUCCACCAAGUCGCACUUUGCGUACUCCAACUUCUAGUUUUCUAUAUUUAACUGAAUCAUGAAUUCCUUAUACAGUGUUUUAAAUUUUAUUAUAACACAUAUGAUUCUAUCUUAUUUCAUUGUAAAGACAAAUACUAAUAUUCGCUCUACUUGGAAAUAAUAUUUUUUCUAGUCGGUAUAAAUAUAUUUAAAAGUUUUAUAUUUUAAAGUAUACUGUUGUGCGAUUCUGAUAUUUAUGCGAGAUAUUUAAAGAAAAAUUCUGAAUUAAAUCUAUAAAUGCAAUCCA
rnacentral:lncRNA from 1 species